GUGCUUGCUUUGACGGCAUGGGUAUUAAAAUGGGAACAGCACAGAGAAGGCUAACGUGGCCCCUCUGCAAGGAUGACACACAAAUUCACAGAGCAUUCCCUUUAAAAA
rnacentral:snRNA from 1 species